UACGUAGGGUGCAAGCGUUGUCCGGAAUUAUUGGGCGUAAAGGGCUCGUAGGCGGUCCAUCGCGUCGGGAGUGAAAAGCUGGGGCUUAACCCCAGUCCUGCUUCCGAUACGGGUGGACUAGAGGUAGGUAGGGGAGAACGGAAUUCCUGGUGUAGCGGUGAAAUGCGCAGAUAUCAGGAGGAACACCGGUGGCGAAGGCGGUUCUCUGGGCCUUACCUGACGCUGAGGAGCGAAAUCAUGGGGAGCAAACAGG
rnacentral:rRNA from 1 species